ACACGUCACCCGGGUACAGAACUUUGGCGAAUAGACGGUUAUUGUCUUGAUUGGAAGAGACAAAACCAACAUAUAACGUUCCCUCGAUAAGGACAAGGAUCUCAGUAGCACGAGGGUGCGUGUGAGGCGGGUUUUGUCCAU
rnacentral:sRNA from 1 species